rnacentral:lncRNA from 1 species
UCUGGGAGGCGUCUUUUCAACAAACCUCAGCGGAAAACCCAGAAAGGCGCUCCGAGUGGAGGGAAGGUGUGGCCAGGCGGGGUCCCGGGGCAGCAGGAGGGACCCACGGGUGAAUGCUGGCCUCGUUCUCUACUUUGCAGUUUGAGUUUCCAUUUUGCAGGGGUCUAGUCUCACUCGCAUAGAUGAUUCUCCUGUCUCAGCCACCUGAGUAGCUGGGACUACAGGUGCGUGCCACCACACCUGGCUAAUUUUUUGUAUUUUUAGUAGUGACGGGGUUUCGCCAUGUUAGCCAGGAUGGUCUCGAUCUCCUGACCUCAUGAUCCCCCGACCUUGGCCUCCCAAAGUACUGGGAUUACAGGUGUGAGCCACCGUGCCCGGUCCUUUUUUUUUUUUGUUGCGAUAAUCUCACUCUGAUGCCUAGGCUGCAGUGCAGUGGCGCGAUCUCGGCCCACUGCAACCUCCACCUACU